CUUAAUGUGGCAGAUAAGUGCAAUGAAUUUAAGCUUCAUUUAUAAAGAUCUUUCUUUCAUUAAGA
rnacentral:tRNA from 1 species